AUCAGACUGGGUGGGGAAGUGCAGGCAGCAGAGGUGGGGCAAAACAAAGCUGCCACUCACAAACAGAAGGUGUCCUCUGUUCAGCUGCAUCUUUCACUCUGCGUGUUGCCUAACCAGUCCGCCUGUGGAGUGUUGCAAAUGUGUGAGCAUGUGCACGUGUUUCCUUGGGAGUGUGAUGCAUGUAUGAGUCCGUGAGCCUGGUGCCCCAAAGCACAACAACGCACCCCAGUGACAAAAUGAGAGGUUAAAGGUCAGUGUGGAGCCCAGAGCCAGCACAACAGCAACACUCUGCUAAAGUUUACUUUGUCUCACAUGUGUGGAAAUUUACAGCGCAGAGGGGGAAAAAAAAUUGCCACUGAAUUUUGAAUUACACC